UACGAAGGGGGCUAGCGUUGCUCGGAAUUACUGGGCGUAAAGCGUGCGUAGACGGUUUUGUAAGUCGGAUGUGAAAUCCCCGGGCUCAACCUGGGAAUUGCAUUCGAGACUGCAAGGCUUGGGUGCGGAAGAGGGAAGCGGAAUUUCCGGUGUAGCGGUGAAAUGCGUAGAUAUCGGAAGGAACAUCAGUGGCGAAAGCGGCUUCCUGGUCCAGCACCGACGUUCAGGCACGAAAGCGUGGGGAGCAAACAGG
rnacentral:rRNA from 1 species